GGCAUGGUGGUGCAGUGGGUAGCACUGAGCUCCCUCACAGCUCCAGGGUCCCUGGUUUGAUCCUGAGCUCUGUUU